rnacentral:rRNA from 1 species
GGUGGCUAUGGCGAGGGGGUCCCACCCGAUCCCAUUCCGAACUCGGAAGUUAAGCCCCUCAGCGCCGAUGGUACUGCCGCUGUUUGUCGGUGGGAGAGUAGGACGUUGCC